rnacentral:ncRNA from 1 species
UAAAGGCUUGGUCCUGACUUUACUGUCAGCUCUGGCUAAACUUACACAUGCAAGUAUCCGCACCCCUGUGAGAAUGCCCUCCAGUCUCCCGCCCGGAAACAAGGAGCCGGUAUCAGGCACGGUUAACACCUGCCCAUGACACCUUGCUUAGCCACACCCUCAAGGGACAUCAGCAGUGAUAGAUAUUAAGCCAUAAGUGAAAACUUGACUUAGUUAAGGCCUAGAGGGCCGGUAAAACUCGUGCCAGCCACCGCGGUUAUACGAGAGGCUCAAGUUGACAGACAACGGCGUAAAGAGUGGUUAGGGAAAUUUUUAAACUAAAGCCAAACGUCCUCAAAGCUGUUUAACGCUCCCGAGUUAAGAAGAUCCAUUACGAAAGUAGCUUUACCCAUCCUGACCCCACGAAAGCUGUGACACAAACUGGGAUUAGAUACCCCACUAUGCUCAGCCAUAAAAUUUGAUAGGCCCCUACGCCCCCUAUCCGCCCGGGUACUACGAGCAUCAGCUUAAAACCCAAAGGACUUGGCGGUGCUUCACAUCCGUCUAGAGGAGCCUGUUCUAGAACCGAUAACCCCCGUUGAACCUCACCCUCCCUUGUUAAUACCGCCUAUAUACCGCCGUCGUCAGCCUACCCUGUGAAGGACUAGAAGUGAGCAAGAUUGGUAAGACCCAAAACGUCAGGUCGAGGUGUAGUGUAUGAGAGGGGAAGAAAUGGGCUACAUUUCCUAAAUCAGGAAACACGAACAAUGAACUGAAACAAGCAUUUGAAGGUGGAUUUAGCAGUAAGCAAGAAAACAGAGUGUUCUGCUGAAACAUGGCAAUAAAGCACGCACAUAUCGCCCGU